rnacentral:lncRNA from 1 species
AGUUAGUUUUGAUUGGUUACAAAAAGCUUGUAACUCUAUAAUUUGGGCAUUCAACUGAAAAAAAAAGUUGUAUAUCAUAAGAAGGUUGUAUGGUUUAAAAUAAGUUAAAUUGUAUGGCAGCAGAAAACGGUUUAGUCCCUAGUGAAGAUGGAAAGAAAAUGAAUUGUAGCUUUUGCAACUGUUUGUUGCCUUCUACUGCAAAAAAUUUUAUCAAUGCACAUAUUAGUGGAAA